GUUUUCAUUGUCCUUGUCACAGUCGUUUUUGCCUCGACUAACAAUGUAAUUGUUGUCAGUGUCGCAGUCAACGUUGCUUUCGUUUUCAUCACUGCUCUGUUGUUGUCAACGUUCUUGUAUCGUCGCUGUUGUUUUUGUUGUCAUUUUGGUUGUCAUGAUUGACGUCGCCAUCAUGUUCUCCGUCAUCCUCGUUAUGGGAUUUACACAAAGACGAGCAGUUUUGAGGCACUUGGUUGGCGGAGCCUUAACACUUUUUUAAAAAAAAUAAA